AACGAACGCUGGCGGCAUGCCUAACACAUGCAAGUCGAACGAGACCUUCGGGUCUAGUGGCGCACGGGUGCGUAACGCGUGGGAACCUGCCCUUAGGUUCGGAAUAACUCCCCGAAAGGGGUGCUAAUACCGGAUAAUGUCUUCGGACCAAAGAUUUAUCGCCUUUGGAUGGGCCCGCGUUGGAUUAGCUAGUUGGUAGGGUAAAAGCCUACCAAGGCGACGAUCCAUAGCUGGUCUGAGAGGAUGAUCAGCCACACUGGGACUGAGACACGGCCCAGACUCCUACGGGAGGCAGCAGUGGGGAAUAUUGGACAAUGGGCGAAAGCCUGAUCCAGCAAUGCCGCGUGAGUGAUGAAGGACUGAGGGUUGUAAAGCUCUUUUACCCGGGAUGAUAAUGACAGUACCGGGAGAAUAAGCUCCGGCUAACUCCGUG
rnacentral:rRNA from 1 species